rnacentral:tRNA from 1 species
AAGUAAAGUGGCAGAUAAUUGCCUUAGGUUUAAGCCCUAAUCAUGGGGCACACCCCCUUUACUA